GGGCCCGCACAAGCGGUGGAGCAUGUGGUUUAAUUCGAUGAUACGCGAGGAACCUUACCAGGGCUUAAAUGGGAGAUGACAGGGGCAGAGACGCCCUUUUCUUCGGACAUCUUUCAAGGUGCUGCAUGGUUGUCGUCAGCUCGUGCCGUGAGGUGUCAGGUUAAGUCCUAUAACGAGCGCAACCCCUACCGUUAGUUGCCAGCGAUUCAAGUCGGGGACUCUAACGGGACUGCCGGUGCAAACCGUGAGGAAGGUGGGGACGACGUCAAAUCAUCACGGCCCUUACGUCCUGGGCUACACACGUGCUACAAUGGUCGGUACAGAGGGAAGCUACCCCGUAAGGGGAUGCGGAUCUAUAAAACCGAUCGUAGUCCGGAUUGCAGUCUGCAACUCGACUGCAUGAAGCUGGAAUC
rnacentral:rRNA from 1 species